GACGCUGGGCUGCACACCUAAGGAGAUGAAGGCGGGUACCGCCAGCAGGGCCUCCACGGCUCCGUGUCUUUGGUCCCCUUGUGCCCCCCCGCUGUCCCCCGUGUGGCAGUGUGGCCCUGGGACAUCCUCUCUCCAGGCAGGGGCCACUGUAGUGGGGUGCCUCUCACUGUGAGCGCCCAGAGCCGCUGGUGGGUUAGAGGGGGGUCAGGGGUACAUGCCUGGGCACACUGGGACAUUUCAUUUAAAGUCCCGGUCCCCCAGGCUGGUGGUGUCUACCAAUGUGAAUCUUUUCAAGCUGGAGAAAAGGAGUGAAUUGAGGAAGCAGUGGACCAACCCCUGAACCCUGCUAGCCUGGCCUUUCUUCACCAAUUUCUCUUAGUGCUGUUAAAAAAAGAUUGAAGAAGAUAAUUUAGGUGAUAUACACAAAUUUUAACACUUCAUGAGGCAGACAGUCUCCUUUCAGAGAACUACAAAUUGGGGCAGAAUGCAAGGACGUUUUACGGGAUAAAGAAUAAGGAACAGGAAGAGACCAAUAUAAAAUAUCUGACCGGCUGGGGCUGAAAGAGGCUCAACACAAGGUUGACAUAAGCGAAGCCAUAUUGUAGAAAAGAGACCAUGUCAUAACUUUGAAUGACCUCUGACCAGCUAACCCAGCUGGAUUUGCACCCUCCAGGACAUCCACCUGAUCUGUAUUUUAUGACCCCUGCUAGUGCAUUUACCUCCCAGCUGCGAUAAGACGAUAACUUUGUUCUUUUGAGAUCCUUAGGAACGUGACGACCCCCCAAACAGUCUGUGCUGAUAGCCAUCAUCAAUGAAACUGAAAGAGCUGGUGUGGCGAUUCCCAGUCUGUAACACCAGAAGGUCAACAUUCCUAAACCGUCCCCUAUAACCCACUGGCCUAUAUAACUGCUUCCAGAUUCUGUGCCCCCUUAAGGUGGUUCUUUUGGACAUUAGUCGGCCAUCUUCCCUCUUACUACCAAGCUGUAAUAAAAUGCCCUUUCUCUGCCACCAUCUUGCAUCGUGACGAUUGGCUUUUGUCUUGUGGCGAGCAGAUCGUGCCCUUUGUGCAGUAACAGGGCCACAUGGAUUACCCACCAGCAUCUCUCUUUGUACCUGCUGAUCUAUUGAUAUGAGAGACCUAAAGGCCAGGCGGAGGUCACAGCCUCCUGUUAGUGGACCUCCUGCCUCAGGAAACAAGACCUUGAAUCUAGCCUAAAUUUGUGCGCAAAGAAGGAAGAGUGGGACUCUGGGAGUGAUGGGGAGAGAAGCUAAUUCUACUUGACCCUUGGCUCCUGGACCUGUGUAAUACGGCUUUGGGGAUUGAGAGA
rnacentral:lncRNA from 1 species